rnacentral:rRNA from 1 species
CCUACGGGAGGCAGCAGUGAGGAAUAUUGGUCAAUGGGCGCGAGCCUGAACCAGCCAAGUAGCGUGAAGGAUGACUGCCCUACGGGUUGUAAACUUCUUUUGUAAAGGAAUAAAGUGAGGCACGUGUGCCUUUUUGUAUGUACUUUAUGCAUAAGGAUCGGCUAACUCCGUGCCAGCAGCCGCGGUAAUACGGAGGGUCCGGGCGUUAUCCGGAGUUAUUGGGUUUAAAGGGAGCGUAGAUGGGUUGUUAAGGCAGGUGUGAAAGUUUGCGGCUCAACCCUAAAAUUGCAAUUGAUACUGGCAGCCGUGAGUACAGGUGAGGUAGGCGGAAUUCGUGGUGUAGCGGUGAAAUGCUUAGAUAUCACGAAGAACUCCGAUUGCGAAGGCAGCUUACUAAACUGCCACUGACAUUGAUGCUCGAAAGUGUGGGGAGCAAACAGGAUUAGAUACCCUAGUAGUC